CAGCCGCCGCGGUAAUACCGGCGGCCCGAGUGGCGGCCACUCUUAUUGGGCUUAAAGCGUCCGUAGCCGGGUUGGUUAGUCUCCCGGGAAAUCUGGCCGCUUAACGGUCAGAAUUCCGGGAGAUACUGCCAGCCUAGGGACCGGGAGAGGCCGAGGGUAUUCCCGGAGUAGGGGUGAAAUCCUAUAAUCCCGGGAGGACCACCUGUGGCGAAGGCGCUCGGCUGGAACGGGUCCGACGGUGAGGGACGAAGGCCAGGGGAGCAAACCGGAUUAGAUACCCGGGUAGUCCUGGCUGUAAACGAUGCGGGCUAGGUGUCGGGUGAGCUUCGGGCUCGCCCGGUGCCGUAGGGAAGCCGUUAAGCCCGCCGCCUGGGGAGUACGGCCGCAAGGCUGAAACUUAAAGGAAUUGCGGG
rnacentral:rRNA from 1 species